GAUCCCAUCACAACUCCGCAGUCAAGCGAGCUUGGGCGAGAGUAGUACUAGGAAGGGUGACCUUCUGGGAAGUCCUCGUGUUGCAUCCCUCUUUUAUGUUUAACCUUAU
rnacentral:sRNA from 1 species